rnacentral:rRNA from 1 species
GAUCCUGGCUCAGGAUGAACGCUAGCUACAGGCUUAACACAUGCAAGUCGAGGGGCAGCAUGGUCUUAGCUUGCUAAGGCCGAUGGCGACCGGCGCACGGGUGAGUAACACGUAUCCAACCUGCCGUCUACUCUUGGACAGCCUUCUGAAAGGAAGAUUAAUACAAGAUGGCAUCAUGAGUCCGCAUGUUCACAUGAUUAAAGGUAUUCCGGANACGAGUAGGGUAGGG